rnacentral:rRNA from 1 species
CGAACGCUGGCGGCAGGCCUAAUACAUGCAAGUCGAACGGCUCUUCGGAGCAGUGGCGGACGGGUGAGUAACGCGUGGGAAUGUGCCCUUAGGUACGGAACAACACAGGGAAACUUGUGCUAAUACCGUAUGUGCCCUUCGGGGGAAAGAUUUAUCGCCUUUGGAGCAGCCCGCGUUGGAUUAGGUAGUUGGUGAGGUAAAGGCUCACCAAGCCGACGAUCCAUAGCUGGUCUGAGAGGAUGACCAGCCACACUGGGACUGAGACACGGCCCAGACUCCUACGGGAGGCAGCAGUAGGGAAUCUUGCGCAAUGGGCGAAAGCCUGACGCAGCCAUGCCGCGUGUAUGAUGAAGGUCUUAGGAUUGUAAAAUACUUUCACCGGGGAAGAUAAUGACGGUACCCGGAGAAGAAGCCCCGGCUAACUACGUGCCAGCCGCCGCGGUAAUAC